rnacentral:lncRNA from 1 species
GUAACCCUUCAGCCCUCCCAGGGUCCGAGGCCAGCAAGUGGGAGCCAGCGUGUUAGAGGAACAGGAAUAAACCAGUCUGGGGCACAUCUUAAGCAUAUUUCAAGGCUCCUCUUGGGUAAACUGUGAUGAAUCAGAGAAAGAGGCAGGACCGACAACCAACACACCUGAGUUCCAACCCUGGCUCUGCGUCUCAAGCAGCUCUGGAACUUUGGGCAAGUCACUUAACCUUUCUG